rnacentral:rRNA from 1 species
CCUACGGGUGGCAGCAGUGAGGAAUAUUGGUCAAUGGGCGAGAUCCUGAACCAGCCAAGCCGCGUGAGGGAAGACGGCCCUAUGGGUUGUAAACCUCUUUUAUCAGGGAACAAAACCCGGCACGAGUCCCGGUCUGCGUGUAUCUUAAGAAAAAGCAUCGGCUAACUCCGUGCCAGCAGCCGCGGUAAUACGGAGGAUGCGAGCGUUAUCCGGAUUUAUUGGGUUUAAAGGGUGCGUAGGGGGUCUGUUAAGUCAGCGGUAAAAUUGCGGGGCUCAACCCCGACGAGCCGUUGAAACUGGCAGUCUUGAGUUGGCGAGAAGUACGCGGAAUGCGCGGUGUAGCGGUGAAAUGCAUAGAUAUCGCGCAGAACUCCGAUUGCGAAGGCAGCGUACCGGCGCCAGACUGACGCUGAGGCACGAAAGCGUGGGGAUCGAACAGGAUUAGAUACCCGUGUAGUC